AUUGAAGAGGCUAUUUCAUGUAUACUCUGUCCUUCUCUCUCUACCAAUUCACAAACUCCUUUCUCUACAGAACAAUAUCUUGACUAUUAUGUGUGUGUGUGUGUGUGUGUGUGUGUGUGUGUGUGUGUGUGUGUGUGUGUGUGUGUGUGUGUGUGUGUGUGAGGAGUUGUCAGUCUUGGUCUUGGAAAAAUCCACUCAAUGUCGUAAGAGAGAGUAGGCGGGCAUCAACCUGUCUGGUCAUUUAUCGUGUGUGAGACCCACUUCCAUGGACAGACAAUGUUAGUGAAAGCCCUGCAGAUGUAAAAAGAGAGGAUGUUAUAUCAGACUGAAUGUAAAGGAGAGGAUGUUAUAUCAGACUGAAUGUAAAGGAGAGGAUGUUAUAUCAGACUGAAUGUAAAGGAGAGGAUGUUAUAUCAGACUGAAUGUAAAGGAGAGGAUGUUAUAUCAGACUGAAUGUAAAGGAGAGGAUGUUAUAUCAGACUGAAUGUAAAGGAGAGGAUGUUAGGCAGACAAUGUAAAGGAGAGGAUGUUAGGCAGACAAUGUAAAGGAGAGGAUGUUAGGCAGACAAUGUAAAGGAGAGGAUGUUAGGCAGACAAUGUAAAGGAGAGGAUGUUAGGCAGACAAUGUAAAGGAGAGGAUGUUAGGCAGACAAUGUAAAGGUGAGGAUGUUAGGCAGACAAUGUAAAGGUGAGGAUGUUAGGCAGACUGAAUGUAAAGGAGAGGAUGUUAGGCAGACAAUGUAAAGGAGAGGAUGUUAGGCAGACAAUGUAAAGGUGAGGAUGUUAGGCAGACUGAAUGUAAAGGUGAGGAUGUUAGGCAGACAAUGUAAAGGAGAGGAUGUUAGGCAGACAAUGUAAAGGAGAGGAUGUUAGGCAGACAAUGUAAAGGAGAGGAUGUUAGGCAGACUGAAUGUAAAGGUGAGGAUGUUAGGCAGACUGAAUGUAAAGGUGAGGAUGUUAGGCAGACAAUGUAAAGGAGAGGAUGUUAGGCAGACAAUGUAAAGGUGAGGAUGUUAGGCAGACAAUGUAAAGGAGAGGAUGUUAGGCAGACAAUGUAAAGGAGAGGAUGUUAGGCAGACAAUGUAAAGGAGAGGAUGUUAGGCAGACAAUGUAAAGGAGAGGAUGUUAGGCAGACAAUGUAAAGGAGAGGAUGUUAGGCAGACAAUGUAAAGGAGAGGAUGUUAGGCAGACAAUGUAAAGGAGAGGAUGUUAGGCAGACAAUGUAAAGGAGAGGAUGUUAGGCAGACAAUGUAAAGGAGAGGAUGUUAGGCAGACAAUGUAAAGGAGAGGAUGUUAGGCAGACUGAAUGUAAAGGUGAGGAUGUUAGGCAGACUGAAUGUAAAGGUGAGGAUGUUAGGCAGACUGAAUGUAAAGGUGAGGAUGUUAGGCAGACUGAAUGUAAAGGUGAGGAUGUUAGGCAGACUGAAUGUAAAGGUGAGGAUGUUAGGCAGACAAUGUAAAGGAGAGGAUGUUAGGCAGACAAUGUAAAGGAGAGGAUGUUAGGCAGACAAUGUAAAGGAGAGGAUGUUAGGCAGACAAUGUAAAGGAGAGGAUGUUAGGCAGACAAUGUAAAGGAGAGGAUGUUAGGCAGACUGAAUGUAAAGGAGAGGAUGUUA